GUUUGGUCCAGAGAGUUCGAACGCUGCACCACAGCACUGGAUAUGGCACAACCGUUCAAAGUGAAUGUGGAGGCAGAACGAGACAUCUGAAGUACAAGACAGGAGGCAGACACAUGGAGCAGAUGUGUAAAGAUCAUUAAUAAGACCGGCACAAGACCGAAGACACGGAACAGCAGAGUUUCUGGUGCUGCCAGCUUUCGGACAGCGCUGAAGAGGAUUUUAAACCGUUGGAACGGUCCCAAAGUCUGGAGGAAGAGAGGAGAGGAACAGAAUUCAUGUUGCUGGGGGUCCAGUGUAAAGUUUCUACAGUCAGUGAUGGUUUGGGGUGCCAUGUCAUCUGCUGGUGUUGGUCCAUUGUGUUUUCUGAGGUCCAAGGUCAACGGGGCCAUCUACCAGACAGCUUUAGAGCACUUCAUGCUUCCUGCUACUGACCAACUUCAUGGAGAUGCAGAUUUCAUUUUCCAACAGGAAAAGGUUUUUCAAAGCUUCCAGUACCUGGUUGAAGGACCAUGGUGUCCCUGUUCUUGAUUGGCCAGCAAACCCACCUGACCUUAUCCACAUAGAAAAUCUAUGAGGUAUUGUGAAGAGGAAGAUGCAAUACACUAGACCCAACAAUUCAGAAGAGCUGAAGGCCACUAUCAGAGCAACAUGGGGUCUCUUAACGCCUGAGCAGUGCUAGUCUGAUGACUCCAUGCCAUGCUGUAUUUCUGCAGUAAUCCAGGCCAAAGGAGCCCCAACUAAAUAUUAUUGAGCGCUGUUCAUGUUCAUACUUUUCAG